GAUGAACGCUGGCGGCGUGCCUAAUACAUGCAAGUCGAGCGAACGGACGAGAAGCUUGCUUUUCUGAUGUUAGCGGCGGACGGGUGAGUAACACGUGGAUAACCUACCUAUAAGACUGGGAUAACUUCGGGAAACCGGAGCUAAUACCGGAUAAUAUUUUGAACCGCAUGGUUCAAAAGUGAAAGACGGUCUUGCUGUCACUUAUAGAUGGAUCCGCGCUGCAUUAGCUAGUUGGUAAGGUAACGGCUUACCAAGGCAACGAUGCAUAGCCGACCUGAGAGGGUGAUCGGCCACACUGGAACUGAGACCCGGUCCAGACUCCUACGGGAGGCAGCAGUAGGGAAUCUUCCGCAAUGGUCGAAAGCCUGACGGAGCAACGCCGCGUGAGUGAUGAAGGUCUUCGGAUCGUAAAACUCUUUUAUUGGGGAAGAACAUAUGUGUACGUACCUGUGCCCAUCUUGACGGUACCUAAUCAGAAAGCCCCGGCUAACUACGUG
rnacentral:rRNA from 1 species